GCACCCUUAGUUCAGUUCGAUACAACGUGGGUCUCCAAAAACCCGAUGUCGUAGGUUCCAAUCCUAUAGAGCGCG
rnacentral:tRNA from 1 species